rnacentral:lncRNA from 1 species
UGUUAGGAUAUUUUAAAUGGACGACGAAUACUUGAAUGGUCUCGUAAGUGAACUCGUAUCCAAGUAUUCAGGAAAGGGAAUAGAAAUCUCUAGACCAUUUCCUUUUUCAUCUAAGGUAUUGUAAAAAUGUUUUAGAUUUGAUCGGAUUAGGAAUGUUUAAGAGAUGACAAUUGUUUGAAUAUUCAAGUAAGGGAACUCAAUCCAAACAAUUGAGGAGAUGAAUCGAAGGCCCGGG